GCACAUUUAAAGGUCCCUCACUCCUUCCCAAGGAGAGAAGCUCUUAAAACCAACCUCCAUAAUGAUGACAGAAUUUCACUCAAGCAGAUGGCUAGAUUUUGAAUACAUCAAAGAAACAACAUUCCUGACACCUGAGAGGAAUUUAUCCCGUCUUAGGUCAUCAAGAAAAGCGCACUGGAUGAAUUACCCAGCCUCAUGACAAAGUGUUAAAACAUCAGCUGUGCAUUAGGGUCUAUACUCCAUAAGAUACGCUGACAGAUUGGCCAUAUCUAAUUUUGUGUCCCCACAUCAUCAAACAGAAACUAGUACAUAAUGGCCACUUAACUGUUGUUUGAAUCAAUGAAUGAAUCAAUGAAUGAAUGACAUUAGAGAAUUUUGAGUACUGUGAGCCAUAGAAAAUUGGUUUAUUUGACUUUAGGCAAAAAAAAAAAAAAAAAUGCAGAGUAUAGCUAAUACUCCUUAGACCAGCAGUGUCUAAUAGAACAUUCUGUAAUGUUAGGGAUGGUUUAUAUUUGUGCUGUCCAAUAUGGCUCUCAAGCACUUAAUAUAAGCAGCAAAAAUUUAAUUUAAUUCCAUUUAAUUGAUUAAAAUUUAACUUAAAAUUGCUACAUGUGAAUAAUGACUAUUGUAUUGGGAAUAAAAUAUUGUAUUGC